rnacentral:rRNA from 1 species
GUUGUAUGGUUAAGUGACUAAGCGUACACGGUGGAUGCCUUGGCAGUCAGAGGCGAUGAAAGACGUAGUAACUUGCGAUAAGCCCAGAUUAGGUAGUAACAACCAUUUGAGUCUGGGAUUUCUGAAUGGGGAAACCCACUUACAUAAGUAAGUAUCCUUACCUGAAUACAUAGGGUAAGGAGGCGAACCGGGGGAACUGAAACAUCUAAGUACCCCGAGGAAAAGAAAUCAACCGAGAUUCCGAAAGUAGCGGCGAGCGAAAUUGGACUAGCCCUUAAGCUUUACACGCGUUAGACGAACGGUCUGGAAAGUCCGACGAUACAGGGUGAUAGUCCCGUAGUUGACGACGUGUGUUCAGUGAAAUCGAGUAGGGCGGGACACGUGAUAUCCUGUCUGAAUAUGGGGGGACCAUCCUCCAAGGCUAAAUACUACUGACUGACCGAUAGUGAACCAGUACCGUGAGGGAAAGGCGAAAAGAACCCCUGUGAGGGGAGUGAAAUAGAACCUGAAACCGUGUACGUACAAGCAGUAGGAGCAGGCUUUGUCCUGUGACUGCGUACCUUUUGUAUAAUGGGUCAGCGACUUAUAUUCAGUGGCAAGGUUAACCAUCUAGGGGAGCCGUAGGGAAACCGAGUCUUAACUGGGCGUUCAGUCUCUGGAUAUAGACCCGAAACCAGGUGAUCUAGCCAUGGGCAGGUUGAAGGUUGAGUAACAUCAACUGGAGGACCGAACCGACUAAUGUUGAAAAAUUAGCGGAUGACUUGUGGCUAGGGGUGA